GAAGGUUCGUCCGCCCUGGGUUAGUCGGGACCUAAGCUGAGGCCGAAAGGCGUAGGUGAUGGACAACAGGUUGAUAUUCCUGUACUACCGAUAACCGUUUGAGAGAAGGGAUGACACAGUAGGAUAAGCUAAGCACACUGUUGGUUAUGUGUGCCCAAGCAUUGAGGCAGUCAAAGUAGGCAAAUCCGCUUUGAUAAUGCUGGGAUGUGAUGGGGAGCGAAAUUUAGUAGCGAAGUAGCUGAUUUCACACUGUCAAGAAAAGUCUCUAUCGAGGUUAAAGGUACCCGUACCGCAAACCGACACAGGUGGGUGAGGAGAGUAUCCUAAGGCCAGCGAGAGAACUGUUGUUAAGGAACUCGGCAAAAUGACCCCGUAACUUAGGGAUAAGGGGUGCCACCAUCAGGUGGCCGCAGAGAAUAGGCCCAAGCGACUGUUUACCAAAAACAUAGGUUUCUGCUAAGUCGCAAGACGAUGUAUAGGAGCUGACGCCUGCCCGGUGCUGGAA
rnacentral:rRNA from 1 species